GAGGGAAACAAGAAACACGUAAACACCCAAAUAACCGUUUUAGUCCUUUCCCCCUGGAUUUGUGUCUUAAGAUAGCCUACAGUAUAUACUUCAAAGGAUACUCCAGAGGCCACGAGACUGUUCCAAUGGGACUUGAAGGGCAAUGCUGGGGAGUGGAGAGCAAUGAAGCUGCUACCUAGCUGGAUUUGAACCUCUAUCAACCAAUGAAAAAACUAACACUGUAUAUUCAUUCUGGCACCAUGGCAACACUUUUCUGGUUUAUAUGAGAACAGAUCUGUUCAGGAAUAUAACUUUAUCACUUGUUCAAAUCAUUUAUCUCAAAUAUUUGCCUCAAAUAUCUUCGAAAUAUAACAUUA